AGUAAUACAUCGGAACGUGUCUUCUAGUGGGGGAUAACUGCCCGAAAGGGCAGCUAAUACCGCAUGAGACCUGAGGGUGAAAGCGGGGGAUCGCAAGACCUCGCGCUGGAAGAGCGGCCGAUGUCCGAUUAGCUAGUUGGUGAGGUAAAGGCUCACCAAGGCGACGAUCGGUAGCUGGUCUGAGAGGACGACCAGCCACACUGGGACUGAGACACGGUCCAA
rnacentral:rRNA from 1 species